rnacentral:lncRNA from 1 species
AGGUCUGUGUUCAUUGUUAACAAUAAUAGGUGUAAAAAGCUAUAUUUCAAAUAUACUUUUUGUAAGAACUUUUUAAUUUGAGAGAAUUUUAGAUUUACAGAAGAAUUGCUAAGAUAGAAUGAAGAAUUCCCAUGUACCCUUCACUGCAACUUCCUUUAAUGUGGACGUCUGAUAUAACCGCAGUAAAUCCAUCACAACUAAAAAAAUAAAGUAUUAUUAACUAUAGACUUUAUCUGAAUUUCUCCAGCUCUUCCAUUAUUGCCCUUUUUUUCUGUUCCAGGAUACCAUGUCACCAAGAGUCAGCAGCCAAUGCCACGUAAUAGUUUUGUGAAGAUUUGUUUAGUUAAAACUAGAUGACACUGUUUGGCAUUCCAGUUCACCAAGAAGAGCUCACUGCAAGUGUUACAAGAUGCUGAAAGCAGGGGUGGCUUUGUCCCUUUCUUUCCUGCUGUGGAAUCAGGACUCUGUUUUCCACUGGACCGGAAAUAAGGAAAGAAAUGAAAGCAGAUCCACAAGCCAGGUCUGGUUUUAAUCAGAGUCUAAUCUUUAUGAGACAACACAAGGCUGAGAAUUUUUUAAUCUGAUAUUUUGAAAGAAAAAUCCGUGUUCCAAAAUGAUACAAACCAACGAGCCUUAGAAGAACGAUGGAGAAAAGAAAUCUCUUGCAUAAAAGAGAAGCAGGAAAUUCCAGAGAAGUUUCACAGUGAGGAGGGGAAAACCCAAGGUCUGUAUCGCUAUUUAUGGUCUUAUUUCUUCGUACAGGGUAAUAAUCUGGUUUUGUUGAACAACCAAAAUUCAGUUUAGAGGGAAUCACAGCAUUCUGUCUCCCUGAAGUGAGAACAUAACUGAACAUAUUACAGACCCACUCUGUGUCCCAUGAUCCAUUGGCCCUUUAGAUAAAUAUUUCGUCCUCUUCAGGGACUCUUCCCAUUGUGGUCAUAGAUCCAUCUCAUAUUAGAUGAUUUAAUACCUUAGUAAUUUGGAGCGUCUCUGUAGACAUUGCUGAACUUUUUAUAUUUUCAUGUACAUUCCACGGAUUGGGGGCAAAAGUUCUGAUUGGCAGGACUUCAGGGUGAGUUGUUGAAAUUUAUAAUCAUUUUCAUAUAAUGCUCGGCUAGAGUGGGGAUAGUAAAAUCUCAAUCUUCCAAUAAGCUGCAAAACUAUUAAUGGAUUUCUAGGUCAUGUUGUUCAGGGUUAACACUCAGUG